rnacentral:tRNA from 1 species
GGGAUAUGGCGAAAUUGGUAG